CCGCAGAGCUUAAUCAAGUAACCUUUUUGCACAUGUGGCUUUCAGGCCCUUACAAACUGUAAGCCAACUGUCCUCCAUCAGUGAAGGCAGAGAGGUCUAACUCAUUGAGCGACGUGCUGGCGAUGACCGACCUGAAGCUGUAACAGAGCCACAGGAACGACAGGAAAGUACAAGUAAGAGAUUCAGUGUCUAAAGCACUGCUAGUAGGCUUGUUGUAGGGCUGAAGGAAGCACGUUUAAAGACUGUGCCGUGUACAAUGACAAAGGAGGCGGGAAAAGCUUUCAUACCCUGCGGUGUUGAUGGAUUGGGUGACCCCCUGUGAAGCGAGGGGGCCUGGAGAAGAUCCGCGGCUGGGACUGCUGGGAGAUGAACUGGAUGACACUGGAAGAACAAGAGGACCUAACCGAGUCAACAGGAGUGGUUCAGCACCGCGGACGAAAAACACACAUUCAUGCUGAUGGAAUCUAUAUAUAACCAAACACAUCAAAAUGCACAGUUCAUAAUGGAGAAGAAACACCUUAACACUACUCAACAUAUAAAUAAAUUUUACUGAAACAUAAGAACAAAACAUCAAAGUGACUUUGAAUAUUAAAUAAAUCACAAUCACAAAUGCAGCUACAAAAGUGAGUGAAAUUAGACUGGAAGUAAUAAGCAUCCGUCAGCCAUAAAACGGCAAAAGGGAAUCCAGUUCCUUA